GAUGAACGCUGGCGGCGUGCCUAAUACAUGCAAGUCGAGCGAACGGACGAGAAGCUUGCUUCUCUGAUGUUAGCGGCGGACGGGUGAGUAACACGUGGAUAACCUACCUAUAAGACUGGGAUAACUUCGGGAAACCGGAGCUAAUACCGGAUAAUAUUUUGAACCGCAUGGUUCAAAAGUGAAAGACGGUCUUGCUGUCACGUAUAGAUGGAUCCGCGCUGCAUUAGCUAGUUGGUAAGGUAACGGCUUACCAAGGCAACGAUGCAUAGCCGACCUGAGAGGGUGAUCGGCCACACUGGAACUGAGACACGGUCCAGACUCCUACGGGAGGCAGCAGUAGGGAAUCUUCCGCAAUGGGCGAAAGCCUGACGGAGCAACGCCGCGUGAGUGAUGAAGGUCUUCGGAUCGUAAAACUCUGUUAUUAGGGAAGAACAUAUGUGUAAGUAACUGUGCACAUCUUGACGGUACCUAAUCAGAAAGCCACGGCUAACUACGUGCCAGCAGCCGAGGUAAUACGUAGGUGGCAAGCGUUAUCCGGAAUUAUUGGGCGUAAAGCGCGCGUAGGCGGUUUUUUAAGUCUGAUGUGAAAGCCCACGGCUCAACCGUGGAGGGUCAUUGGAAACUGGAAAACUUGAGUGCAGAAGAGGAAAGUGGAAUUCCAUGUGUAGCGGUGAAAUGCGCAGAGAUAUGGAGGAACACCAGUGGCGAAGGCGACUUUCUGGUCUGUAACUGACGCUGAUGUGCGAAAGCGUGGGGAUCAAACAGGAUUAGAUACCCUGGUAGUCCACGCCGUAAACGAUGAGUGCUAAGUGUUAGGGGGUUUCCGCCCCUUAGUGCUGCAGCUAACGCAUUAAGCACUCCGCCUGGGGAGUACGACCGCAAGGUUGAAACUCAAAGGAAUUGACGGGGACCCGCACAAGCGGUGGAGCAUGUGGUUUAAUUCGAAGCAACGCGAAGAACCUUACCAAAUCUUGACAUCCUUUGACAACUCUAGAGAUAGAGCCUUCCCCUUCGGGGGGGCAAAGCGACAGGUGGCGCAUGGUUGUCGUCAGCUCGUGUCGUGAGAUGUUGGGUUAAGUCCCGCAACGAGCGCAACCCUUAAGCUUAGUUGCCAUCAUUAAGUUGGGCACUCUAAGUUGACUGCCGGUGACAAACCGGAGGAAGGUGGGGAUGACGUCAAAUCAUCAUGCCCCUUAUGAUUUGGGCUACACACGUGCUACAAUGGACAAUACAAAGGGCAGCGAAACCGCGAGGUCAAGCAAAUCCCAUAAAGUUGUUCUCAGUUCGGAUUGUAGUCUGCAACUCGACUACAUGAAGCUGGAAUCGCUAGUAAUCGUAGAUCAGCAUGCUACGGUGAAUACGUUCCCGGGUCU
rnacentral:rRNA from 1 species